UAAAUCGAUUUUGGGAGCAUUAAGAGCUUUAAAUUGGUUGUUCAUGGUGGUUGUGGUAUUGAUGACAAUGACAGUCUUGUAAUUACUUGAAGAUGAUGAGGGUGAGAGAGUAAAGAUGUCAUUUUCGAAAAAAAAAAAAAAAUUGAAGGCAUUUUCGUAAAUUAUAUGAACUUGUGGGGUGAAUAGGGCAAAACCAAUUUUCAAAAAAAAAGGAGGUUGGCAAAUAGACCUCAAUGAAAAAAAUGGCAAAAAAUAGACCUCAAUGAAAAAAAUGGCAAAAAUAAGUUUUAUUCAAAGUAAAAAUGACCAAAAUAUGUAU
rnacentral:lncRNA from 1 species